UCUCAAACUUUGUAGCUGGUCUGACAAUCUCAUUAAAUGCCACAAUUCAAAUUGAGAUCAAUUGUCCUCACUUACCUGGCUUAUCAGAUUUAGUACAUAUAUCUUAUUGAAAACUAAAAGGAGAAACAUAGAAUUUUAGCUUGUGCAACACACAGAUCGAAGCUCAGUUUUAUUCAGGUAUAGAAAAGAGUACAGGCCGCCACGCCGCCUUUACCAACCGGCUUCGAAGACCAGCCGACCCGAACCUGAACCUCCUGCCGCCACCGCCGUCGCAGCCACUAUGAUGGCCAACAGGCACCGCCCUCCGUUGCGGCAAUAACCGGUGCUCACUGCCUUCCAAUGGCAGCGGUGACAACACAAAUAGCUCCCGGAGAGAGUUGCGGGUGAUCAGCCUCUCCCUCUUCGUCUCCGUACCCAACGGUUUAUCCGCAGAGCGAUAGCGUCGGCCAAGCAGGCGAUGCCAUGAUAGAGAGAAGCAUAGCUUGCUUUGAACUUUCCGGCAUCGAUGGUGAGUGACAGGGGCGAAGUUCUUCGACAGAAUUUGUGGCGGUCCUACACAUUGCGUCGCGAGCUGCUUGAUCCUGUCAAGAAGAAUUCUCAUCUUCUAUUCUCGCUCCACUGCGAGUAACAUACGAUUCUGUCACGCCCCGAGCCCGCCUCUUUGGUCGGAUUCGGGCACGCCAACAGACCGCCGAACGGACAGGGUUUCCCCUGCACGCGGACAGAGUCUCCCCUGUACGUUCAAGGCGUCGCAAUCAAUACAAGUACAAGAGGUUCCAAACAGGAACAAUUUUCAACAACGAUUGCAUAAGGAAGGUAUCAAUCAACAUAACACAUCCUAUGUUAUUACAAUCAUUCAUCUCAUCAUUUUACAUCGCAUUUUUCAUUACAUUGAUUCUCAACUUCCAAAUAUACAAUCGAUUUCUAAACAUAAUAUUACAACAUCAAUUCUUUUCUUUUCUUUUCUUAUACCCCUAAGAAGCCGACUCAGGAUGCUGCUAUCUGGUCUCUGUGGUAGGGCGCUAACUACGGAGCUACGCCCUUUCCUCGCGCCGCCGCGCCGCUCGCGUGUGAACCUGUACCCCCAAAAAAACAACAACACGGGGGUGAGACUAUUGUCCAUAGUCGUCAGUGGGUACAGCCACCCAAGUGAAAAGCUCAACCCACCAGGUCCAAAGGAGGCACUGCAACAUGUUAGUCCAACAGAUAUAUAUAUAUAUAUAACAUCAUGCAAUACAUGUUCAUGCCUCACAAAUAUGCAAAUUAUGCAACUCUUAGUCAUUCUUUACCAUUAGCCUUUUUUUAGAAUAUGCAAUUCUUUAUCAUUAGCCAUUCUUUAUUCUUUAAUCUUUAUUCUUCAUUCUUUAUUCUUUAUGCUUUAUUCUUUGUUCUUUAUCCUUUACUAAGGGCACUCGCGCCUUAGGCUCAUCAUACACAUUUGCCAUUCUUUAUAACAUUAACAAGUCUUUCUCAAUUAUCACUCUUUCCUAAGGUUACAUUUACCUUAGCCAACUUUGCCACUCGACUCGGUCUUGAGUCAAUUCAUAAUGAAUACAAGAUCAACUUUCCAAUUCAUGAUCCCUUUUUGUUCUUUGUUCUUUAAUCUCACGGCUAACCCGGGGGUUUCGCCACAUUAACUUGCUUCACAUUAAGUCCAUCAUCGCAGGAACUCACCCGGUAGGACCGUCCUUACGGGUCUACUCCAACCUGGAUGCCAAACUCCGGAGCGCAUCGCCCGAGGGGGAGCGACCGCCCUCGAGCACGGAACUCAUAGCAAGUAUGAUCAUAUCCUUAACUCAAAGGAUUUGUAGUUGAAUCAUGGCUUUACACUAACUCUAGUGUUCUUUACAUCACAUUAGUUGCUAACUCUAGAAAUCAUUGUUCUUUACAUUUCCUUUACUUUUGCUAACUCUAGCAGUCACGUUUUUCACAUUCCUUUACUUUAAGCUAUCUUUAGCUUUCACAUUCUUUAACUUUACACGUUCUUUAUGCCACAUUACAUUACAUUAUCUUUAGCCAUUAUCAUUAUUCUUUACAUCACAUUGCUUUGCCUUGUCUCAAGCCAUUAUCAUUAGGUUCUCACAUUAUAUUUCAUGCAUACACAUAGAUUAUUUAGAUUCUUAAUCAUUCUAAUAAGCACGUGUACUCACAUCAUGCAACAUUACAUUAUUAUCAUCACAUUGUUUUACAUUAUCUUUAGCCAUUAUCAUUGUUCUUUACAUCACAUUUAUUCUUUGAUGUCCCACACUAACUCUAGUGUCCACUUUACCAUUUCGAAUGCCACUCGAUCUAUGUUCAACAUGCAUAUAUUUUGUCAUCCAUUGGUAGUCAUUACUUAGCAUUUUAUGCAUUCGUUAACAUUUACU
rnacentral:lncRNA from 1 species